rnacentral:rRNA from 1 species
CUAAGAAUAUUCCGCAAUGGACGAAAGUCUGACGGAGCGACGCCGCGUGGAUGACGAAGGCCGUGAGGUUGUAAAAUCCUUUUGCUGGGGAAGAAUAAGUCCGGGAGGGAAUGCCCGGGCGAUGACAUGAACCGGCGAAUAAGCCCCGGCCAACUACGUGCCAGCAGCCGCGGUAACACGUAGGGGGCAAGCGUUGUUCGGAAUUACUGGGCGUAAAGGGCAUGUAGGCGGUCCUGUAAGCCUGGCGUGAAAUGCUGCGGCUCAACCGUAGCACUGCGCUGGGAACUGCGGGACUGGAGUCACGGAGGGGGAGCUAGAAUUCCGGGUGUAGGGGUGAAAUCUGUAGAUAUCCGGAAGAAUACCAGUGGCGAAGGCGAGCUCCUGGCCGAUGACUGACGCU